rnacentral:rRNA from 1 species
UACGAAGGGGGCUAGCGUUGCUCGGAAUACUGGGCGUAAAGCGCGCGCAGGCGGUCUUCCAAGUCAGUGGUGAAAGGCCUGGAGCUCAACUCCAGAACUGCCAUUGAAACUGUUAGACUUGAGUACGAGAGAGGUGAGUGGAAUUCCCAGUGUAGAGGUGAAAUUCGUAGAUAUUGGGAAGAACACCGGUGGCGAAGGCGGCUACACUGGCUCGUAACUGACGCUCAGGCGCGACAGCGUGGGG